GAUAACACUUGGAAACAGGUGCUAAUACCGCAUAACAGUUUAUGCCGCAUGGCAUAAGAGUGAAAGGCGCUUUCGGGUGUCGCUGAUGGAUGGACCCGCGGUGCAUUAGCUAGUUGGUGAGGUAACGGCUCACCAAGGCCACGAUGCAUAGCCGACCUGAGAGGGUGAUCGGCCACACUGGGACUGAGACACGGCCCAGACUCCUACGGGAGGCAGCAGUAGGGAAUCUUCGGCAAUGGACGAAAGUCUGACCGAGCAACGCCGCGUGAGUGAAGAAGGUUUUCGGAUCGUAAAACUCUGUUGUUAGAGAAGAACAAGGACGUUAGUAACUGAACGUCCCCUGACGGUAUCUAACCAGAAAGCCACGGCUAACUACGUGCCAGCAGCCGCGGUAAUACGUAGGUGGCAAGCGUUGUCCGGAUUUAUUGGGCGUAAAGCGAGCGCAGGCGGUUUCUUAAGUCUGAUGUGAAAGCCCCCGGCUCAACCGGGGAGGGUCAUUGGAAACUGGGAGACUUGAGUGCAGAAGAGGAGAGUGGAAUUCCAUGUGUAGCGGUGAAAUGCGUAGAUAUAU
rnacentral:rRNA from 1 species